AUUGAACGCUGGCGGCAUGCCUUACACAUGCAAGUCGAACGGCAGCGGGCCUUCGGGUGCCGGCGAGUGGCGAACGGGUGAGUAAUGCAUCGGAACGUGCCAUUGAGUGGGGGGAUAACGUAGCGAAAGUUGCGCUAAUACCGCAUAUUCUGUGAGCAGGAAAGCAGGGGACCGCAAGGCCUUGCGCUCUUUGAGCGGCCGAUGUCAGAUUAGCUAGUUGGUGAGGUAAAAGGCUUACCAAGGCGACGAUCUGUAGCGGGUCUGAGAGGAUGAUCCGCCACACUGGAACUGAGACACGGUCCAGACUCCUACGGGAGGCAGCAGUGGGGAAUUUUGGACAAUGGGGGCAACCUGAUCCAGCCAUGCCGCGUGAGUGAAGAAGGCCU
rnacentral:rRNA from 1 species